UCCCUGGAGGACUAAUGGUUAGGCCCCGGCACUCUCACUACCGUGGCACGGGUUGGAUUCCUGGCCAGGGAA